rnacentral:rRNA from 1 species
AGAGUUUGAUCAUGGCUCAGAUUGAACGCUGGCGGCAGGCUUAACACAUGCAAGUCGAACGAUGACUAACUAGCUUGCUAGUUAUGAUUAGUGGCGGACGGGUGAGUAACAUUUAGGAAUCUGCCUAGUAGUGGGGGAUAGCUCGGGGAAACUCGAAUUAAUACCGCAUACGACCUACGGGUGAAAGGGGGCGCAAGCUCUUGCUAUUAGAUGAGCCUAAAUCAGAUUAGCUAGUUGGUGGGGUAAAGGCCCACCAAGGCGACGAUCUGUAACUGGUCUGAGAGGAUGAUCAGUCACACCGGAACUGAGACACGGUCCGGACUCCUACGGGAGGCAGCAGUGGGGAAUAUUGGACAAUGGGGGCAACCCUGAUCCAGCCAUGCCGCGUGUGUGAAGAAGGCCUUUUGGUUGUAAAGCACUUUAAGCAGGGAGGAGAGGCUAAUGGUUAAUACCCAUUAGAUUAGACGUUACCUGCAGAAUAAGCACCGGCUAACUCUGUGCCAGCAGCCGCGGUAAUACAGAGGGUGCGAGCGUUAAUCGGAAUUACUGGGCGUAAAGCGAGUGUAGGUGGCUCAUUAAGUCACAUGUGAAAUCCCCGGGCUUAACCUGGGAACUGCAUGUGAUACUGGUGGUGCUAGAAUAUGUGAGAGGGAAGUAGAAUUCCAGGUGUAGCGGUGAAAUGCGUAGAGAUCUGGAGGAAUACCGAUGGCGAAGGCAGCUUCCUGGCAUAAUAUUGACACUGAGAUUCGAAAGCGUGGGUAGCAAACAGGAUUAGAUACCCUGGUA